CGCUAAGAUCAGUUUACUCAUAAAUAGGUAGUUGAUUUACCCAUAUUUAGGUUUCAUAUGCGUUACCAAUAAUAUGGAUAAAAUAUACCUUUAAAAAACGGUAAAAUGUACCCAUAUUAUGAGUAUAGCCACUGUACCCAAAUAUGGGUAAAUGAACUUACCCAUAUUUGGAUGAAAAUUUUUGAGUUAGAAACUUUCUUCUCGCGAUGCAUUAGUGCCCCAGCACCGCCAUCAUAACACAACCGGAAAAGUUUACAUUUUGAUUUCCACGUUUUAAAGGCGUUCGUUGGCCAGUCGGUGUCCUUCUAAACACCGGUUUUAAUUAUUGAUACCAUUCCAUUGGACUCCCGCACGGGUACGAGCCGUGGGGUCCAUAAAAAUUGGUGAACUGGUUGGUUUGGUGCACGAAAAUACUGCAGGAGCAACAAAUUAUCAUGUCCAGCUAGCAAGGCUCCAAAAUAAUGGAUUUUUCCCGGAUUUUUCAGUUCCGAUAAGCAACAAUUUUGCAGUGUGAUAAGCAUCAACCGGAGGAAUGAAUAACAUGGUUGAUCAUUUCGAAAACUUCAAAGAACUCCAGCCCAAAUCCGAUGUCAGUC